rnacentral:rRNA from 1 species
AGUCGAACGAGAAUCUACUGAAAGAGUUUUCGGACGAUGGAAGUAGAGGAAAGUGGCGGACGGGUGAGUAACGCGUGAGGAACCUGCCUUGAAGAGGGGGACAACAGUUGGAAACGACUGCUAAUACCGCAUGAAGCAUAGGGGUCGCAUGAUUCUUAUGCCAAAGAUUUAUCGCUUCAAGAUGGCCUCGCGUCUGAUUAGCUAGUUGGCGGGGUAACGGCCCACCAAGGCGACGAUCAGUAGCCGGACUGAGAGGUUGAACGGCCACAUUGGGACUGAGAUACGGCCCAGACUCCUACGGGAGGCAGCAGUGGGGAAUAUUGGGCAAUGGGCGCAAGCCUGACCCA